AGAGUUUGAUCCUGGCUCAGGACGAACGCUGGCGGCGUGCUUAACACAUGCAAGUCGAGCGGUAAGGCCCUUCGGGGUACACGAGCGGCGAACGGGUGAGUAACACGUGGGCAACCUGCCCCGUACCUUGGGAUAAGCCCGGGAAACUGGGUCUAAUACCGAAUAUGACCUCCUUCCGCAUGGGUGGGGGUGGAAAGUUC
rnacentral:rRNA from 1 species